rnacentral:lncRNA from 1 species
CUGCUAUUCUCUAAAAAGAACCUUCCUUCCAUUUCUUACGUCAAGACUCUUCCUAGUUCGUGCUACUUUAGAAUACAUCUACACCGAAGGAAAUAUUUAAUUUAAUUGUCCUUCAUGGCCAUGAAAGAAUACUCCAAUAUGCCUUCAAGAUAAGAAGUAAAACAAUCAAGGUCACUAGAUAGAGGGGAAAACUUAGUUCAACCUCAAUACCGAAAGUAAUGGUAUAGGAAGAAUUCGAGGAUGAGAAUGAGGAAGUAGAGAGCAACCAAUCUUCUUGUAGUGGAGUUGAUACCUCUUCUUUAUAUCUUUCUUGAUCUUAGAUUU